rnacentral:rRNA from 1 species
AGAGUUUGAUCCUGGCUCAGAUUGGACGCUGGCGGCAGGCUUAACACAUGCAAGUCGAGCGGAAACGAAGAUAGCUUGCUAUCAGGCGUCGAGCGGCGGACGGGUGAGUAACGCGUAGGAAUCUACCUAGUAGUGGGGGAUAGCCCAGAGAAAUUUGGAUUAAUACCGCAUACGCCCUAUGGGGGAAAGCAGGGGAUCUUCGGACCUUGCGCUAUUAGAUGAGCCUGCGUGAGAUUAGCUAGUUGGUGGGGUAAAGGCUCACCAAGGCGACGAUCUCUAGCUGGUCUGAGAGGAUGAUCAGCCACACUGGGACUGAGACACGGCCCAGACUCCUACGGGAGGCAGCAGUGGGGAAUAUUGGACAAUGGGGGCAACCCUGAUCCAGCCAUGCCGCGUGUGUGAAGAAGGCCUUCGGGUUGUAAAGCACUUUCAGCGAGGAGGAAAGGUUAGUAGUUAAUAACUGCUAGCUGUGACGUUACUCGCAGAAGAAGACCGCUAACU